UAGGGAAUCUUCGGCAAUGGGGGGAACCCUGACCGAGCAACGCCGCGUGAGUGAAGAAGGUUUUCGGAUCGUAAAGCUCUGUUGUUAAGGAAGAACGAGUGUGAGAAUGGAAAGUUCAUACUGUGACGGUACUUAACCAGAAAGGGACGGCUAACUAAGUGCCAGCAGCCGCGGUAAUACGUAGGUCCCGAGCGUUGUCCGGAUUUAUUGGGCGUAAAGCGAGCGCAGGCGGUUAGAUAAGUCUGAAGUUAAAGGCAGUGGCUCAACCAUUGUAGGCUUUGGAAACUGUUUAACUUGAGUGCAGAAGGGGAGAGUGGAAUUCCAUGUGUAGCGGUGAAAUGCGUAGAUAUAUGGAGGAACACCGGUGGCGAAAGCGGCUCUCUGGUCUGUAACUGACGCUGAGGCUCGAAAGCGUGGGGAGCGAACAGG
rnacentral:rRNA from 1 species